rnacentral:rRNA from 1 species
GGAAAAGAAACCAACAGGGAUUGCCUCAGUAACGGCGAGUGAAGCGGCAAAAGCUCAAAUUUGAAAUCUAGCACUUUCAGUGUUCGAGUUGUAAUUUGAAGAAGGUAACUUUGGUUUUGGCUCUUGUCUAUGUUCCUUGGAACAGGACGUCACAGAGGGUGAGAAUCCCGUGCGAUGAGAUGCCCAAUUCCAUGUAAAGUGCUUUCGAAGAGUCGAGUUGUUUGGGAAUGCAGCUCUAAGUGGGUGGUAAAUUCCAUCUAAAGCUAAAUAUUGGCGAGAGACCGAUAGCGAACAAGUACAGUGAUGGAAAGAUGAAAAGAACUUUGAAAAGAGAGUGAAAAAGUACGUGAAAUUGUUGAAAGGGAAGGGCUUGAGAUCAGACUUGGUAUUUUGCGUUCCCUUCCUUUUUGGUUGGGUUCCUCGCAGUUUACUGGGCCAGCAUCGGUUUGGAUGGUAGGAUAAUGACAUUGGAAUGUAGCUUUACUUCGGUGAAGUGUUAUAGACUUUGUUGAUACUGCCUAUCUAGACCGAGGACUGCGUCUUUGACUAGGAUGCUGGCGUAAUGAUCUUAAGCCGCCCGU